GACGAACGCUGGCGGCGUGCUUAACACAUGCAAGUCGAACGGAAAGGCACUGCUUUUGUGGUGUGCUCGAGUGGCGAACGGGUGCGUAACACGUGAGUAACCUGCCCUUGACUUUGGGAUAACUUCAGGAAACUGGGGCUAAUACCGGAUAGGAGCUCCUGCUGCAUGGUGGGGGUUGGAAAGUUUCGGCGGUUGGGGAUGGACUCGCGGCUUAUCAGCUUGUUGGUGGGGUAGUGGCUUACCAAGGCUUUGACGGGUAGCCGGCCUGAGAGGGUGACCGGCCACAUUGGGACUGAGAUACGGCCCAGACUCCUACGGGAGGCAGCAGUGGGGAAUAUUGCACAAUGGGCGGAAGCCUGAUGCAGCAACGCCGCGUGCGGGAUGACGGCCUUCGGGUUGUAAACCGCUUUCGCCUGUGACGAAGCGUGAGUGACGGUAAUGGGUAAAGAAGCACCGGCUAACUACGUG
rnacentral:rRNA from 1 species